AUUGAACGCUGGCGGCAGGCCUAACACAUGCAAGUCGAGCGGAUGAGGGGAGCUUGCUCCUGGAUCCAGCGGCGGACGGGGGAGUAAUGCCUAGGAAUCUGCCUGGUAGUGGGGGAUAACGUCCGGAAACGGCCGCUAAUACCGCAUACGUCCUGAGGGAGAAAGUUGGGGAUCUUCGGACCUCACGCUAUCAGAUGAGCGUAGGUCGGAUUAGCUAGUUGGUGGGUUAAAGGCCUACCAAGGCGACGAUCCGUAACUGGUCUGAGAGGAUGAUCAGUCACACUGGAACUGGGACGCGGUCCAGAGUACUGCGGGAGGCAGCAGUGGGGAAUAUUGGACAAUGGGCGAAAGCCUGAUACAGCCAUGCCGCGUGUGUGAAGAAGGUCUUCGGAGUGUAAAGCACUUUAAGUUGGGAGGAAGGGCAGUAAGUUAAUACCUUGCUGUUUUGACGUUACCAACAGAAUAAGCACCGGCUAACUUCGUG
rnacentral:rRNA from 1 species